CCUACGGGAGGCAGCAGUAGGGAAUCUUUCACAAUGGGCGAAAGCCUGAUGGAGCAACGCCGCGUGCAGGAUGAAGGCCUUCGGGUUGUAAACUGCUUUUAUAAGCGAGAAAUAUGAUGGUAACUUAUGAAUAAGGAUCGGCUAACUACGUGCCAGCAGCCGCGGUCAUACGUAGGAUCCGAGCAUUAUCCGGAGUGACUGGGUGUAAAGAGUUGCGUAGGUGGCAUAAUAAGUAGCUAGUGAAAUCUGGUGGCUCAACCAUUCAGACUAUUAGCUAAACUGUUAAGCUCGAGACCGUUAGGGGUAACUGGAAUUUCUAGUGUAGGAGUGAAAUCCGAAGAUAUUAGAAGGAACACCAAUAGCGUAGGCAGGUUGCUGGGACGGUUCUGACACUAAGGCACGAAAGCGUAGGGAGCAAACGGGAUUAGAUACCCCUGUAGUC
rnacentral:rRNA from 1 species